GACAGAGGGUGCAAACGUUGUUCGGAAUUACUGGGCGUAAAGCGUGUGUAGGCGGUCUCGUAAGUCGGAUGUGAAAGCCCCGGGCUCAACCCGGGAAGUGCAUUCGAAACUGCGAGGCUAGAGUAUCGGAGAGGUUGGUGGAAUUCUCGGUGUAGAGGUGAAAUUCGUAGAUAUCGAGAGGAACACCGGUGGCGAAGGCGGCCAACUGGACGAAUAUUGACGCUGAGGCGCGAAAGCGUGGGUAGCAAACAGG
rnacentral:rRNA from 1 species